rnacentral:rRNA from 1 species
UUGGAGGGCAAGUCUGGUGCCAGCAGCCGCGGUAAUUCCAGCUCCAAUAGCGUAUAUUAAAGUUGUUGCAGUUAAAAAGCUCGUAGUUGAAUUUCGGGGUCAGCAGGUUGGUCGUGCCAAUGGUAUGUACUGGCCUUGGUGAUUCCUCCCUCUUGAUGAACCGUAAUGCCAUUAAUUUGGUGUUGCGGGGAAUCAGGACUGUUACUUUGAAAAAAUUAGAGUGUUUAA